AUUAAACGCUGGCGGCAUGCCUUACACAUGCAAGUCGAACGGUAGCGCGGGGCAACCUGGCGACGAGUGGCGAACGGGUGAGUAAAGCAUCGGAACGUGCCCUGGAAUGGGGGAUAACGUAGCGAAAGUUACGCUAAUACCGCAUAUUCUGUGAGCAGGAAAGCAGGGGAUCGCAAGACCUUGCGUUCUGGGAGCGGCCGAUGUCGGAUUAGCUAGUUGGUGGGGUAAAAGCCUACCAAGGCGACGAUCCGUAGCGGGUCUGAGAGGAUGAUCCGCCACACUGGGACUGAGACACGGCCCAGACUCCUACGGGAGGCAGCAGUGGGGAAUUUUGGACAAUGGGCGGAGCCUGAUCCAGCCAUGCCGCGUGAGUGAAGAAGGCCUCGGGUUGUAAAGCUCUUUCGGUUGGGGAAGAAUUGCACGGGUUAAUACCCUGUGUAGAUGACGGUACCCGAAUAAGAAGCACCGGCUAACUACGUGCCAGCAGCCGCGGUAAU
rnacentral:rRNA from 1 species